rnacentral:SRP_RNA from 1 species
GCUGGGCAUGGUGGCGUGUGCCUGUAGUGUCAGCUACUCACAAGGCUGAGGUGGGAGGAUCUCUUGAGCCCGGGAUGUUGAGACUGCAGUGAGCUGAGAUUGCGCCACUGCACUCCAGCCUGGGCAACAUAGUGAAACCCUGUCUCAA